rnacentral:tRNA from 1 species
AGGAUUAUAGUUAAAUAUAACAUUUAAUUUGCAAUUAAAAAGUAUUGAGUUCUCAAUUAAUCUU